GCUGCCUUUGCAGCAUGGAUAAGGAACCUCUCUUCUUACAAAUAUAAAAACCUUAAGGAUUUUUGGAACUUUGACUAGUAAAUGGACUUUGGCUGCAGCUCCUUCCAUGGCCUAUACCUCCUGUGGAUGGUGAAUGGGGCUUUUAGCUUUCCAGAGGUUUCCAAUUGAUUGCUGCACAGGUGCAUCAACUAUCACAUGUGCUAAUUUCACAGAUGACCACUUGAAGAAACAUGGUUACAGAUUCUUUGGACAUUGUUGGAGAUGUGCAGGCCGUAAAUACAGACUACUGUUCUAG
rnacentral:lncRNA from 11 species